rnacentral:rRNA from 1 species
UACAGAGGUCCCGAGCGUUGUUCGGAUUCACUGGGCGUGAAGGGUGCGUAGGUGGUGAGGUAAGUCGGAUGUGAAAUCUCGGAGCUCAACUCCGAAAUGGCAUUGGAAACUACCUUGCUCGAGGGUUGGAGGGGGGACUGGAAUGCUUGGUGUAGCAGUGAAAUGCGUAGAUAUCAAGCGGAACACCAGUGGCGAAGGCGAGUCUCUGGACAACUUCUGACACUGAGGCACGAAAGCUAGGGGAGCAAACAGG